UUGAACGCUGGCGGCAGGCCUAACACAUGCAAGUCGAGCGGUAGAGAGAAGCUUGCUUCUCUUGAGAGCGGCGGACGGGUGAGUAAUGCCUAGGAAUCUGCCUGGUCGUGGGGGAUAACGUUCGGAAACGGACGCUAAUACCGCAUACGUCCUACGGGAGAAAGCAGGGGACCUUCGGGCCUUGCGCUAUCAGAUGAGCCUAGGUCGGAUUAGCUAGUUGGUGGGGUAAUGGCUCACCAAGGCGACGAUCCGUAACUGGUCUGAGAGGAUGAUCAGUCACACUGGAACUGAGACACGGUCCAGACUCCUACGGGAGGCAGCAGUGGGGAAUAUUGGACAAUGGGCGAAAGCCUGAUCCAGCCAUGCCGCGUGUGUGAAGAAGGUCUUCGGAUUGUAAAGCACUUUAAGUUGGGAGGAAGGGCAGUAAAUUAAUACUUUGCUGUUUUGACGUUACCGACAGAAUAAGCACCGGCUAACUCUGUG
rnacentral:rRNA from 1 species